rnacentral:miRNA from 1 species
UCAUUUUGCUUCUUUAU